CAACGAUCCCACUGGGGACAAACAAAAGUAGCGUCGUCUCCACCGAACCAGUUGUCAGUGGCAACAUAUAGGAAUCGUGUACAUUUCUUCGUUUCUUCUUUGCUGUUUUCAGUGAGUGUUUUGUUUUCUCUUUGUCCUUGAUCUCGACGGCGUUGUCGUGCUCAUUACCUUACUGAGACGUCUCUUGUGACUGUAGCCAGUGUCACGGAGGAUUUUAUUGGCGUGACGAGGUAGAUCGCCGAGAUCGAGCGUGAAAAACGCUCUGCAUUAGUAGCUCCUGUAGAAUGUCUUCUGGGAUGGCGUAUCCAUGGUCAACAAAGCCAAGGUGCAAGACAGCAUAAGAGAUCGUGCAAACGAUGUGAACUCCAAAAGAUAAUCUGGACAAAUAAAUUAUAUUGUAACUGGAGAGUGCAGUCGUGCUUGGGGCCCAUCCCAAUGUCAUCACAUGGCUGUGGUGACUAGUGUAUACCUGGGAGAAUUUUCCUCAACUGAGACGGAGUGUAGAUGGAUGGAUUAUGAGAAAUGCGAAGAUGUGGAGUUCAAGGCUAGAUGCACUUCACAUUCGGCGUGGGAUCUCGGCGUCUGGGACCUGAUAACGUCUUGGUUGGAUGGGUGAUCAAGGAUGAUACUACUCGGCACACCAAUGUACAUGUCAAUGUAGUUUUUACUUUUUCAGAGCUGCACUAUUUACGUCUUGAUGCUUACUUCGGUGCUAGUGUCGUGUCCGUGUGUUGCUACAAUGUCAUUAUCUGUAUUGUAUUCCGUCUGCUUAUACAUGUGUCUUUAUGAAGUGUUUGCCUUGGCGGCGAUGUGUCUUGUCGAUCAAUAGUGUUGUGAAACCUAUCACUAUUUAUGCUUUGCUGGCUACUCGCUCGCUCCGCGCCGUGCACGCUACUAGGUCUUGUAGUAUAUAGCUCGAUGCUUUGCAUCGAUCGCUGGUUGUUGUUGUUCUUGUUGCUUCUCUGUUGUUUGAGCUUGGUCCUAGAGUGAA